UAAAAACCCUUUCUCACAAGUUGAAUGCAUCUGCCAAAAAUCUGCAGAAUUUUAUAACAGGAAGGAGAAGGAGUGGCCAUUAUGAUGGGAGGACCAGCCGAAAAUUGCCAAACGACUUUCUGACCUCAGUUGUGGAUCUGAUUGGAGCAGCCAAGAGUCUGCUUGCCUGGUUGGACAGGUCACCAUUUGCUGCUGUGACAGACUAUUCAGUUACAAGAAAUAAUGUCAUACAACUCUGCCUGGAGUUAACAACAAUUGUGCAACAGGAUUGUACUGUAUAUGAAACAGAGAAUAAAAUUCUUCACGUGGUGAGUAUACUUGGAUUUAUUUUAAUCUUUAUUAGAGGAUAUUUCCUUGUUCAACUAGAAGAGGUGAACCA
rnacentral:lncRNA from 1 species